GAAAAACUGAACCAGUUGCAGCAAGACCUAAAAUAGAAGAAGCACCUCCUGCAGUUAAAGAGCCUGCAGUCACAAAGAAGCCAAGAACUGAGCCAGUUGUACCAACACCUAAAAUAGAAGCAGCACCUUCUGCCGUUAAAGAGCCUGAAGUCACCAAGAAGCCAAGAACUGAGCCAGUUGUACCAACACCUAAAAUAGAAGCAGCACCUUCUGCAAUUAAAG